rnacentral:rRNA from 1 species
GCUUAAAUAUAAGAGGUCCAGCCUGCCCAGUGACAAAAUUUAACGGCCGCGGUACCCUAACCGUGCGAAGGUAGCAUAAUCACUUGUUCUUUAAAUGAGGACCUGUAUCAACGGCAUCACGAGGAUUAUACUGUCUCCCUCUUUAAAUCAGUGAAACUGAUCUCCCCGUGAAGAAGCGGGAAUAUUCAUAUAAGACGAGAAGACCCCAUGGAGCUUUAAACCCAACAACACCUAUCUUAUACACACCAUCAUAUUUGUUUAGUCCUUGUUUAGUCGGUUUUAGGUUGGGGUGACCGCGGAGUACAAAAAAACCUCCACGAAAAAAAGACUAAUAGUCCUUAUCCAAGAUACACACCUCUAAGAAUUAAUAUAUUAAUUUUUAAUGAUCCGCCAUUCGAUCAACGAACUAAGUUACCCUGGGGAUAACAGCGCAAUCUACCUUGAGAGCCCCUAUCGACAGGUGGGUUUACGACCUCGAUGUUGGAUCAGGGUACCCCAAGUGGUGCAGCAGCUACUAAAGGGUUCGUUUGUUCAACGAUUAAAACCCUACGUGAUCUGAG